rnacentral:rRNA from 1 species
GAUGAACGCUGGCGGCGUGCCUAAUACAUGCAAGUCGAGCGAACAGACGAGGAGCUUGCUCCUUUGACGUUAGCGGCGGACGGGUGAGUAACACGUAGGUAACCUACCUAUCAGACUGGGAUAACUUCGGGAAACCGGAGCUAAUACCGGAUAAUAUUUCGAACCGCAUGGUUCGAUAGUGAAAGAUGGCUUUGCUAUCACUUAUAGAUGGACCUGCGCCGUAUUAGCUAGUUGGUAAGGUAACGGCUUACCAAGGCAACGAUACGUAGCCGACCUGAGAGGGUGAUCGGCCACACUGGAACUGAGACACGGUCCAGACUCCUACGGGAGGCAGCAGUAGGGAAUCUUCCGCAAUGGGCGAAAGCCUGACGGAGCAACGCCGCGUGAGUGAUGAAGGUCUUCGGAUCGUAAAACUCUGUUAUUAGGGAAGAACAAACGUGUAAGUAACUGUGCACGUCUUGACGGUACCUAAUCAGAAAGCCACGGCUAACUACGUG